UUGGUUUACUCAUAGCGAGUGAUUAAAAGGGAAACAGGUGAGAAUCCUGUACUGUCCCGCAGCUGUAAGCCUCCUUUAUGGGGUGCAAACACAUGAAAGCCACUGUCCUACCUGACGGGAAGGCGUUUGCACCAGGAGGCGAGUCAGAAGACCUGCCGUUGAGAU
rnacentral:ncRNA from 1 species